CUAUGUGUUGUUGGGUAGGGGAGCGUUCUGUAAGCCUGUGAAGGUGGCCUGUGAGGGUUGCUGGAGGUAUCAGAAGUGCGAAUGCUGACAUAAGUAACGAUAAAGCGGGUGAAAAGCCCGCUCGCCGGAAGACCAAGGGUUCCUGUCCAACGUUAAUCGGGGCAGGGUGAGUCGACCCCUAAGGCGAGGCCGAAAGGCGUAGUCGAUGGGAAACAGGUUAAUAUUCCUGUACUUGGUGUUACUGCGAAGGGGGGACGGAGAAGGCUAUGUUGGCCGGGCGACGGUUGUCCCGGUUUAAGCGUGUAGGCUGGUUUUCCAGGCAAAUCCGGAAAACCAAGGCUGAGGCGUGAUGACGAGGCACUACGGUGCUGAAGCGACAAAUGCCCUGCUUCCAGGAAAAGCCUCUAAGCAUCAGGUAACAUCAAAUCGUACCCCAAACCGACACAGGUGGUCAGGUAGAGAAUACCAAGGCGCUUGAGAGAACUCGGGUGAAGGAACUAGGCAAAAUGGUGCCGUAACUUCGGGAGAAGGCACGC
rnacentral:rRNA from 1 species